AGUGAACGCUGGCGGUAGGCCUAACACAUGCAAGUCGAACGGCAGCACAGUAAGAGCUUGCUCUUACGGGUGGCGAGUGGCGGACGGGUGAGGAAUACAUCGGAAUCUACUUUUUCGUGGGGGAUAACGUAGGGAAACUUACGCUAAUACCGCAUACGAUCUACGGGUGAAAGCAGGGGAUCUUCGGACCUUGCGCGAUUGAAUGAGCCGAUGUCGGAUUAGCUAGUUGGCGGGGUAAAGGCCCACCAAGGCGACGAUCCGUAGCUGGUCUGAGAGGAUGAUCGGCCACACUGGAACUGAGACACGGUCCAGACUCCUACGGGAGGCAGCAGUGGGGAAUAUUAGGCAAUGGGCGCAAGCCUGAUCCAGCCAUACCGCGUGGGUGAAGAAGGCCUUCGGGUUGUAAAGCCCUUUUGUUGGGAAAGAAAAGCAGCAGGUUAAUACCCCGCUGUUCUGACGGUACCCAAAGAAUAAGCACCGGCUAACUUCGUG
rnacentral:rRNA from 1 species